rnacentral:lncRNA from 13 species
AAGGAAUUGUUGCUGCAGGAAGUCAAAAAAAUCAUCUAACAGUUUUCUCAUGAUGUCUUGGUCUGACUUUCUUAUUGGGCUAAUACUGGUCUUCAAAAUGAUUUCAAUCUCGGCAAACAAGCAUCAUCAACAUCCAUUCCAGAUAAGUUAUUUUCAAAAUUUUCUUAUCUUCACUAAGUCCCCUCAAUUAUACUUUCAGAACGGCUUCUCAAAUUUAUCCAUUGCUUGUCAGUUAUAUAACCACUUCCUAAUCUGAUGUGACAUUGCCUUUCACAUGAAUUGAUGGGCAGCAUAACUGAUUUUUUUUAUUGCCAAUCUUGUUCUCCUUAAAUUGUUGUUUCCAGAGAGUAAUCAAUGAUCUUCCAUGUUACCUUACUACUAAGAUCUUAAAUGAUGUGACAUUGUCUUUUUAAUACUGGUCAUGCUAUUUCACAUGGUAUACAAGAUUAUCAACAUCUGAUCUGGUCCUCAUGGAUCAAUAAAAAAAUAAAUAUUGUGAAUAAUUUUUCA